UACGUAGGGGGCAAGCGUUGUCCGGAAUUAUUGGGCGUAAAGAGCGUGUAGGCGGUCCGGUAAGUCAGCUGUGAAAGUCAAGGGCUCAACCCUUGAAAGCCGGUUGAUACUGUCGGGCUAGAGUCCGGAAGAGGCGAGUGGAAUUCCCGGUGUAGCGGUGAAAUGCGCAGAUAUCGGGAGGAACACCAAUGGCGAAGGCAAGCUCUCUGGGACGGUACUGACGCUGAGACGCGAAAGCGUGGGGAG
rnacentral:rRNA from 1 species